rnacentral:snoRNA from 1 species
AUGCAGGUACUGUUACAAUACAACUGAUGUGUUUUGUUGUCGUUCCCCCUGCUUAAAGCACUUGAUGCAUAACUCUGUCUACCUUCAUUCCGUAGUAAGACAGAGACGCUUGGCUUCAGACAUUU